rfam:Stegodyphus mimosarum contig67360, whole genome shotgun sequence.
GGCUUCGUGGUGUAGUGGUUAGCACGCUAGACGCGUAUUCGAGAGGUCCGUGGUUCGAAUCCCGGCGAGGCAU